rnacentral:tRNA from 1 species
AUUUAUAAAGUAUAAUUUUUGUACAAUUAAUUUCCAAUUAAUAAGAUUACUAAUAUAGUAAUAUAAAUA